UAGCGGCGGUGUUGUGAGCCAACAAACUGCUGGCUGGCUGGCAACGGAAUGUGUGUGUGCCCUAAGGGGCAGCGCGCACAGUGCCGCCAUUGCCGUUGUGCUUGGAUUGAGUUUGAGCGACGCGUAGCCAGCCAAGAAAAGUGGCCAGCGAGCCAAGUGCGACAACAGCAACAGCAACAACAACAACAUCUCUAGCAACAACAAGCUGUUUGCUGGCCACAAGGUUUCCUUCCUUCGUUUCCACAAUUUUUUUUCUGCUUUGGUUCCACAUUUUUGACGAGGUGGUGAUGAUGGUCCAAGACGCAGCAGCGCCAGCGCAGGAUGACAGACGAGACGCAGGCCAGGGAAAUUUCCACUUGUUUCACCCCCCAUUUGGCUAAGAACAGGGCCAAAAAACAGUUUGAUUAGCCAAGUCAAAUAAUAAGUGGCGGGCCAAAAAGAUGUGCGUCCUGGCCAAGAUCAAGUAGCAGCAACAACAACAGCAGCUGGAUUGGAGUGCAGUCAAUAGAAAAUGGCCGUCAAUCGACAGCAUUAGCGGCACACAAACACACACACACACACACAAACGCACACAUGCACAAACAGGAAGUAGGGAGUAGCAAUAGCGGCUAAGGAUACGUUCGUCUCGACCAUACAGCUAACAAUAAAGACUACAACAACAAACGCAAGUGCCGCACAACAACAAAAACAGCAACAUUAAGAAAAACGUGUGCUUGUGCGUGUGUGUGUGUGUGUGUGCGUGGUACGACCUUUGAACUGACCAACGUGCGCGGCCAACUUUGGACAGUGCCAAAAAAGACGUGCGCCAUCAGCAACUGGCGCUGGCCCAACCAACAACAACACCAACAGCAACAACAGGCGGUCCAUUGUUUCAACUUCGUUGCCAGUUGCCCCCGCCACAUCUGUUGCCACCACAACACCACACCACACCACACCAGACCACCACCACCAUCACCGCUAAUGAUUCAAGCGCAUCGAAAUUUGUCAGCGGCCCAUCAAGACCAGCAGCAGCAGAAAUGCCAUCAAUGGCAGUGGCGGCCAAUUUUGUCGACCACACGCGUGCGAAACCUCAAAGGACGCACAACAGCGUCCGAGUUGCUCGCACGUUCGCCAAAUCUAUCGAAAAAAAAGUAAUGGAUAUUGCGCAUACGCAACGUGUGCCCAGCAAAUAAAAGGCAACUACUAACUAAUCCAGCGAAGGAAGCAAAAUGUUGCUAAUCUAAGUGCUUCAAACAACAAUUAAUUAUAUAAAAAAUAAUCGCAUCAAUUAUUAUAAACUACUUAUGCAAUAAAUAUUUGUCACCUUUUUAAAAACGUAGUGCAGCAACAGUUAAAAAAUAAAUUGAGAACACAUAUAAUUAAUCAUUUCAAAUAAAUAUAUACAUACAAGUAAAUUAUGCAAAAAUAAUCCCCCAAUAAAUACUUAGUGGAAUAAAAUAUAAAAACUACGCAUAAAUAAAAACAAUUAGAACAAGUAAAUAUGAACUAAUUGAAAGCACUCGUAGACAAUUUUCAUGAAAGAAUCAAUGCGUGAUUUUUUUUAAUGCCGCGUCACCUUCAACAGCUGCAGCCGCCACAGCCCGAAAGGAAGAAUAAUAAAAAGUAGUUCAUUACUGAAUUAUAAAGGAAGUUACAUUUCGCCUAUGUACAAUGCAGACAGAAGGAGCAGAAGGAUAAAAGGAAGCCUUGUUGUGCCAAUUGCGCAGAGACCGUGAAAGCUACACAUGGCCUGACCAACCAAUGGCAGCUGAGCGGCAUUCAAGCCAGACCAGUCAAAGGCAAUGCAGUGCACUUGGCAACAACAACAACAACAACAACAGCACACACACACUCGCACAAACACAUCCACAUACAUAUGUAUAUAUGCACUUGUACGAGUAUAUAGUGUGUAGAUGGAAUUUUGUUGCGGCAACAUGCGCAUGAAAUGUGACAAUAAAUCACGACGCAUACGCCUGUUGGCGCAGCAGGCUGUGUUUGUGUGCGACUGUUUGUGUGUUUGUGUGUGUGCGCCUAGCUGUAUGCCAUAGUUUGCCAACUGCACUGCGUGGCCUUGUUUGGCAAGUUGGCUAUAACGACGCGUCCUUUUUUUGUGCAAAGUGCGCAUUGGCUGCAGAAAGCACGCGAAGAGACGAACCAAUCAGGAUACGACUCGCGACUUGUGCGCACUAUUCGCUCCCUACGUCAGUGGCAAGGAUACCAAAGUGUCGAAGGAGGACCUGCAAUUUUGGCAACAUCCUCUGAGGCGAAAUGUGUUUUGGCUGUGGCUCAAACGGCGUUAAAACAACACUUGCAUUGUUAAGCAGCAAAUUUUGUAUAUACAAUGUAUCUCUAUUUACAUAGCGUUCUUAUAGUUUUUAAUUCAAUAAUAUACAUAUGUACUUAAAGUUAGACACAUGCCCAUAGAAACGAGUCACGUUUGAAGCGCACACGCCCACAAACAACAGCUGUGGGCGUGGCUAAGUAAUAAUCAUAUAUUAGAGGAAGUUUAAUUAAGCGUUUGAUGAUGUGUAUGCGAUGAAGAGAAUUGCAAAAAAAUGCGUAAGAAAAAACAAAUAAAAUUUCGUAAAGCUUCAGAGCGGCACGCCAAAAAAAAACA